GAUGAACGCUGGCGGCGUGCCUAAUACAUGCAAGUCGAGCGAACGGACGAGAAGCUUGCUUCUCUGAUGUUAGCGGCGGACGGGUGAGUAACACGUGGAUAACCUACCUAUAAGACUGGGAUAACAUCGGGAAACCGUAGCUAAUACCGGAUAAUAUUUUGAACCGCAUGGUUCAAAAGUGAAAGACGGUCUUGCUGUCACUUAUAGAUGGAUCCGCGCUGCAUUAGCUAGUUGGUAAGGUAACGGCUUACCAAGGCAACGAUGCAUAGCCGACCUGAGAGGGUGAUCGGCCACACUGGAACUGAGACACGGUCCAGACUCCUACGGGGGGCAGCAGUAGGGAAUCUUCCGCAAAGGGCGAAAUCCUGACGGAGCAACGCCGCGUGAGUGAUGAAGGUCUUCGGAUCGUAAAACUCUGUUAUUAGGGAAGAACAUAUGUGUAAGUAACUGUGCACAUCUUGACGGUACCUAAUCAGAAAGCCACGGCUAACUACGUG
rnacentral:rRNA from 1 species